rnacentral:rRNA from 1 species
UUGAACGCUGGCGGCAGGCCUAACACAUGCAAGUCGAGCGGUAGCACAGAGAGCUUGCUCUCGGGUGACGAGCGGCGGACGGGUGAGUAAUGUCUGGGAAACUGCCUGAUGGAGGGGGAUAACUACUGGAAACGGUAGCUAAUACCGCAUAAUGUCGCAAGACCAAAGUGGGGGACCUUCGGGCCUCAUGCCAUCAGAUGUGCCCAGAUGGGAUUAGCUAGUAGGUGGGGUAACGGCUCACCUAGGCGACGAUCCCUAGCUGGUCUGAGAGGAUGACCAGCCACACUGGAACUGAGACACGGUCCAGACUCCUACGGGAGGCAGCAGUGGGGAAUAUUGCACAAUGGGCGCAAGCCUGAUGCAGCCAUGCCGCGUGUGUGAAGAAGGCCUUCGGGUUGUAAAGCACUUUCAGCGGGGAGGAAGGCGGUGAGGUUAAUAACCUCAUCGAUUGACGUUACCCGCAGAAGAAGCACCGGCUAACUCCGUGCCAGCAGCCGCGGUAAUACGGAGGGUGCAAGCGUUAAUCGGAAUUACUGGGCGUAAAGCGCACGCAGGCGGUCUGUCAAGUCGGAUGUGAAAUCCCCGGGCUCAACCUGGGAACUGCAUUCGAAACUGGCAGGCUAGAGUCUUGUAGAGGGGGGUAGAAUUCCAGGUGUAGCGGUGAAAUGCGUAGAGAUCUGGAGGAAUACCGGUGGCGAAGGCGGCCCCCUGGACAAAGACUGACGCUCAGGUGCGAAAGCGUGGGGAGCAAACAGGAUUAGAUACCCUGGUAGUCCACGCCGUAAACGAUGUCGAUUUGGAGGUUGUGCCCUUGAGGCGUGGCUUCCGGAGCUAACGCGUUAAAUCGUCCGCCUGGGGAGUACGGCCGCAAGGUUAAAACUCAAAUGAAUUGACGGGGGCCCGCACAAGCGGUGGAGCAUGUGGUUUAAUUCGAUGCAACGCGAAGAACCUUACCUGGUCUUGACAUCCACAGAACUUUCCAGAGAUGGAUUGGUGCCUUCGGGAACUGUGAGACAGGUGCUGCAUGGCUGUCGUCAGCUCGUGUUGUGAAAUGUUGGGUUAAGUCCCGCAACGAGCGCAACCCUUAUCCUUUGUUGCCAGCGGUUAGGCCGGGAACUCAAAGGAGACUGCCAGUGAUAAACUGGAGGAAGGUGGGGAUGACGUCAAGUCAUCAUGGCCCUUACGACCAGGGCUACACACGUGCUACAAUGGCAUAUACAAAGAGAAGCGACCUCGCGAGAGCAAGCGGACCUCAUAAAGUAUGUCGUAGUCCGGAUUGGAGUCUGCAACUCGACUCCAUGAAGUCGGAAUCGCUAGUAAUCGUAGAUCGGAAUGCUACGGUGAAUACGUUCCCGGGCCUUGUACACACCGCCCGUCACACCAUGGGAGUGGGUUGCAAAAGAAGUAGGUAGCUUAACCUUCGGGAGGGCGCUUACCACUUUGUGAUUCAUGACUGGGGUG